GACCUGGUGGUGAAUGGAUCACACCCACUUUCCUUACGUGGUACACCAGUAAAUGUCAGGUAGGAGUCCCCGGUUCGAUUCUGGGCUAGGUCA